rnacentral:tRNA from 1 species
GCUCUCGUAGCCCAACUGGCAGAGGCGCCGUCUUGAGGGGGCGGUCAUGUGCGCGUUCGAGUCGCGCCGAGAGCA